rnacentral:lncRNA from 1 species
GCAAAUUAUCAUUUUGAGAUAGAAUUCUCUUAAAGGAGGCAACAGAGAAAGACAACGGCAGAGUGAUAUUGUCAGUUCUCAUACCAUUGUUUAUUUGCUGACAAUAUCACUCUCAUGAUAAUGACGGUGUUUAAUGAAUGAUAAAAAAUCAUCAUUUUUCUCCAACACAAGACCAAUAUGGUGCAACUUCACAAGCAUUUAGCCCUCUCUCGUACUUGAUAGCCAGUAUUUUCGUACUCUCCUUACAAUUUUCUCAAAUAUAUAUCCUAGUCCUAGCUAAAUGCUCAAAAUCUACAGGCUAAUAGUUCAUAAAGCAGGUCUUGAAACUAAUUUCAAAAUAAAUAAGAGUUUAACUAAACAAUCGAGGGACCAAGAACAUGCCAUACUACAUCUUGAACAUAAUUUAGGUGAGCAACUUUUGCCUACUCCUUUGGCAAACAAAAAGCUAUGAACUAUGCAGUCUCCGCACUAAAACUCAAGAAGUAAGGCCAAUUCAGAUGAGAUUUGACACACGAUAGACAUAUGGAGAAAGUGUGUGAACUAGUUAGUGCAAGUUAGAACCUCCUACAUCCCUAACAAAAAAUUUAGACAUUUUUUCGCCGUAGCUGGGAUACACUUGAGAAGACAGCAUCCCAUUCUUGUCUUCUGCGUUUAGGAAUCAUGCCACUGUUACAAGAAGGUGCCCAGGUAUUUGAGGAUAUAUUCUCAGUUAUCAUGCAAUAAACAAGCCUGGAAAUGCUGCAAACUGCAAAGUCAUCAAAAGAAACUAGUGUAACAUUUUGGUGAUUACUAAAGAGGAGGAUAUUUGAAACUACACUAUAAAUGAAACCAAGAAUAGAGAACAAGCACACAGAGAACAGAGAGGCUUUCAGUGCAAACAGAACACAGCAGCAAAAGAGGAAGUACUAAUUGAAAUGUCCUUAACUUCAGAGAUGUUGCUGCUUGUUGAUUGAAUAUAGUUUUCUCAAAAAAGAUUGGUUUUUUAUUAGUGGAGACAAACACCACCCUAAGAAAAGACCUCAAAUCCAGAUAUAACAGGAACAUUGUCAUCUAAAUCGGGAAAAUGGAGUUAACGUGAUAUGAUUAACAAAAUUACUACGACACCAUAGACUAAGACAUUUUCUUUCUUCAUAAACUUAAACUUGACUUUGAGCUUUCAUAUACUAGAGUUUUCUCAAUCACAUUUUUUUGCAACAAUAAAAGGGAAAAGAAUUGUUCAAAAUUAUUCCAAGGAAAAAAAGAACUAAAACACAAAUAAAGAAGCCUUAUCUUAAUAAAAAAUCAACCAAAGAAAUCUUGAACACCUUUUCCACCAAAAACUCUAUCAGAAAGUUCGGCCAAAAUGACAAUAACAGUGAGAAAAAUUACAAAACGACACUGGACCCAACUCAACUCAGAACUAAGAAGAAGUCGCACUAACCUGAGGAAGAAGGCGUCACAGCCGAGCUGAGGAAGAAGGCAGCAGUCACAGCAGAGACAGGAGCUGAGGAAGAACCCUAAAUCUAAUUUUUGAUUUAGGUUUUGGGAAAUGAAAAGUAAGUGACUAAGGUCUAAGUGUAAGUGUGUAACGUAUAAUCAGACUAUCAGUACAGUAAGUUUGGGUAAAUUGAGCUUCAAAGUUCAAAUGGGUAUUGGACUAUUGGCUUCAGCCUGAAAUGGGUAAUAAGUUUUGGACUCUCAAAAUAACUCACAUGCUCAAACCUAUUUUUCUUAACUAAUACCCAAAAAUUCGAUUUUUCGGUUUAACCGAAACACCAAAACCGUAAACCGCACCGAAAAAUCGAAAAUUAAUAAUUUAAACAUUGUGCCCCAACCGAAAAACCGAAAUUCACGGUUCGGCCGAUGUUUUCGAUUCGGCCGGUAUUAUGCCCACCCCUACUCUGGACCUAUUAUAGUAAAAG